rnacentral:rRNA from 1 species
GACGAACGCUGGCGGCGUGCCUAAUACAUGCAAGUCGAACGAACCGCGACUAAGUGCUUGCACUAAGUCAAGGUGAGUGGCGAACGGGUGAGUAACACGUGGGUAACCUACCUCAUAGUGGGGGAUAACAGUCGGAAACGACUGCUAAUACCGCAUAGGACAUAGGAUCACAUGAUCCAGUGAGGAAAGGUGGCGCAAGCUAUCGCUAAGAGAUGGACCCGCGGUGCAUUAGCUAGUUGGUAGGGUAAAGGCCUACCAAGGCGAUGAUGCAUAGCCGACCUGAGAGGGUGAUCGGCCACAUUGGGACUGAGACGCGGCCCAAACUCCUACGGGAGGCAGCAGUAGGGAAUCUUCCGCAAUGGACGCAAGUCUGACGGAGCAACGCCGCGUGAGUGAAGAAGGUCUUCGGAUCGUAAAGCUCUGUUGUUAGAGAAGAACAGCGCAUAGAGUAACUGCGAUGCGUGUGACGGUAUCUAACCAGAAAGCCACGGCUAACUACGU